AUUGAACGCUGGCGGCAGGCCUAACACAUGCAAGUCGAGCGAGCGGCGGACGGGUGAGUAAUGUCUGGGAAACUGCCCGAUGGAGGGGGAGAACAACUGGAAACGGUAGCUAAUAUCGCACACCAUCAGAUGUGCCCAGAUGGGAGUAGCUAGUAGGUGGGGUAACGGCUCACCUAGGCGCCGAUCCCCAGCUGGUCUGAGAGGAGGCCCAGCCACACUGGAACUGAGUCACGGUCCAGACUCCUACGGGAGGCAGCAGUGGGGAAUAUUGCACAAUGGGCGCAAGCCUGAUGCAGCCAUGCCGCGUGUAUGAAGAAGGCCUGCGGGUUGUAAGGCACUUUCGGCGGGGAGGCGUUACCCGCAGAAGAAGCACCGGCUAACUCCGUGCCAGCAGCCGCGGUAAUAC
rnacentral:rRNA from 1 species